rnacentral:rRNA from 1 species
UUUGAACGCUGGCGGCAGGCCUAACACAUGCAAGUCGAACGGUAGCACAGAGAGCUUGCUCUCGGGUGACGAGUGGCGGACGGGUGAGUAACGUCUGGGAAACUGCCCGAUGGAGGGGGAUAACUACUGGAAACGGUCGCUAAUACCGCAUAACGUCGCAAGACCAAAGUGGGGGACCUUCGGGCCUCACACCAUCGGAUGUGCCCAGAUGGGAUGAGCUAGUAGGUGGGGUAAUGGCUCACCUAGGCGACGAUCCCUAGCUGGUCUGAGAGGAUGACCAGCCACACUGGAACUGAGACACGGUCCAGACUCCUACGGGAGGCAGCAGUGGGGAAUAUUGCACAAUGGGCGCAAGCCUGAUGCAGCCAUGCCGCGUGUAUGAAGAAGGCCUUCGGGUUGUAAAGUACUUUCAGCGGGGAGGAAGGCGGUGAAGUUAAUAGCUUAACCGAUUGACGUUACCCGCAGAAGAAGCACCGGCUAACUCCGUGCCAGCCGCCGCGGUAA